rnacentral:rRNA from 1 species
UGGACCAUCAGGCAAGGCUAAAUACUCCUCAAUGACCGAUAGUGAACCAGUACCGUGAGGGAAAGGUGAAAAGAACCGCUGGCGCGGAGUGAAAUAGACCCUGAAACCGUAUGCUUACAAGAAGUCAGAGCCCUUUUAUGGGUGAUGGCGUGCCUUUUGUAGAAUGAACCGGCGAGUUACGAUAGCUAGCGAGGUUAAGUGGAAAACACGGAGCCGUAGCGAAAGCGAGUCUUAAUAGGGCGUCUUAGUUAGUUGUCGUAGACCCGAAGCCGUUGUGAUCUAGCCAUGACCAGGUUGAAGUUUGGGUGAAACCAAAUGGAGGACCGAACCAACCAUCGUUGAAAAGCUGGUGGAUGAGUUGUGGCUAGCGGAGAAAUUCCAAUCGAACACGGCGAUAGCUGGUUCUCCCCGAAAUAGCUUUAGGGCUAGCGUCGGAGUAAAGAUAUUGGCAGGUAGAGCACUGAAUUCAUGAUGGCCCCAUCCCGGGGUACUGAUUGGAAUCAAACUCCGAAUGGUCAAUAUUGUUUUCCGGCAGUCAGACUGCGAGUGAUAAGGUCCGUGGUCAAAAGGGAAACAGCCCAGAUCAUCGGUUAAGGUCCCAAAAUCUAUGCUAAGUGGAAAAGGAUGUGGGGAUGCGUGGACAGCUAGGAGGUUGGCUCAGAAGCAGCCACCCUUCAAAGAGUGCGUAACAGCUCACUAGUCGAGUGCCCCUGCGCCGAAAAUUUACCGGGGCUAAGCAUAGUACCGAAACCAUGGAUUUGUACCUAGUACAAGUGGUAGGGGAGCGUUCCUGUUGCAUUGAAGGUAUACCGUAAGGAGUGCUGGAGCGGCAGGAAGUGAGAAUGCCGGUGUGAGUAACGAGAUGCAGGUGAGAAUCCUGCACACCGAUUGACUAAGGUUUCCAGGGCAAGGGUCGUCCUCCCUGGGUAAGUCGGGACCUAAGGCGAGGCCGAAAGGCGUAGUCGAUGGACAACAGGUUGAUAUUCCUGUACCCGUAUGCGUAAUGAUGGAGUGACAGAUGGGGAAGAUGAGAGCCCCUUAUCGGAUUGGAGUUUAAGCGUAGCAGAUGUCUAAUAGGCAAAUCCGUUAGAUAAAUCAAGGACGCGAGUACGAGCGAACACGCGAGUAAGUAGCGAAGUCUCAUUCAUCCUGUCUCAAGAAAAGCUUCUAAGUUUAUAUGCAUGCGGCCCGUACCAAAACCGACACAGGUGGUCAAGGCGAAUAGCCUAAGGUGAGCGAGAGAACUGUUGCCAAGGAACUCGGCAAAAUCGUCCCGUAACUUCGGGAGAAGGGACGCUCUAACGAGCCACAGUAAAUAGGCCCAAGCAACUGUUUAACUAAAACACAGCUCUCUGCUAAACCGCAAGGUGAUGUAUAGGGGGUGACGCCUGCCCGGUGCUGGAAGGUCAAGGGGAUUAGUUAGGACUUGUCCGAAGCUUUGAACCGAAGCCCCAGUGAACGGCGGCCGUAACUAUAACGGUCCUAAGGUAGCGAAAUUCCUUGUCAGGUAAGUUCUGACCCGCACGAAAGGCGUAAUGAUUUGGGCGCUGUCUCGGCAGCAGACUCGGUGAAAUCUUAGUACCUGUGAAGAUGCAGGUUACCCGCAACUAGACGGAAAGACCCCAUGGAGCUUUACUAUAACUUGAUAUUGAGUUUCGGUUAGAUAUGCACAGGAUAGGUGGGAGGCAUUGAGACGUGAGUUUUGGCUUACGAGGAGCCGCCGUUGGGAUACCACUCUUAUUUAAUUGGAAUUCUAACCUGCUCCCCUGAUCGGGGAGAGGGACAGUGUCAGGCGGGUAGUUUGACUGGGGCGGUCGCCUCCCAAAGAGUAACGGAGGCGCUCAAAGGUACUCUCAGAUUGGUUGGAAAUCAAUCGUCGAGCGUAAUUGCAGAAGAGUGCUUGACUGCAAGACUUACAAGUCGAGCAGGGACGAAAGUCGGAAAUAGUGAUCCUGCGGUUCAGUAUGGAAUGGCCGUGGCUUAACGGAUAAAAGCUACCCUGGGGAUAACAGGCUGAUCUCCCCCAAGAGUUCACAUCGACGGGGAGGUUUGGCACCUCGAUGUCGGCUCAUCGCAUCCUGGAGCUGAAUUCGGUUCCAAGGGUUGGGCUGUCCGCCCAUUAAAGCGGUACGCGAGCUGGGUUCAGAACGUCGUGAGACAGUUUGGUCCCUAUCUGUUGUGGGCGUUGGAAAUUUGAGGAGUGCUGUCCUUAGUACGAGAGGACCGGGAUGGACGUACCGAUGGUGCACCAGUUGUCCUGCCAAGGGCAUAGCUGGGUAGCUAAGUACGGAUGAGAUAAACGCUGAAGGCAUCUAAGCGUGAAACUCGCUCCAAGAUGAGAUUUCCCAUUGAUUUAAUCAAGUAAGACCCCUUAAAUACUAUGAGGUAAUAGGUCAGACGUGUACGCAUGGUGACAUGUUUAGCGGACUGAUACUAAUCGGUCGAGGAUUUUAUCUAA